rnacentral:rRNA from 1 species
GGRUYAGUACGUUGGUCUGUGCCUUAGGUACGUACUGGUGUUACUGGAUUCCUACCUUCUGACGAACCAUACAUGUCAUUACAUUUGGUGUGGCGGGGAAUCAGGACUGUUACUUUGAAAAAAUUAGAGUGUUUAAAGCAGGCUCGCGCUUGAAUACAUUAGCAUGGAAUAAUGAAAUAGGACGUUGAUCCUAUUUUGUUGGUUUCUAGGAUUGACGUA